GCUAAAUAGUUUAAACAAAAACAAUAUAUUUUCAUUAUAUAAUUAAUAACUUCAUUUUUAGCC
rnacentral:tRNA from 1 species